rnacentral:misc_RNA from 1 species
GAUGAAGAACGUAUUGAAAUGCGAUAAGUAAUGCGAAUUGCAGAAUUCAGUGAGUCAUCGAAUCUUUGAACGCACAUUGCGCCCUGUGGUAUUCCGCAGGGCAUGCCUGUUCGAGCGUCAUUUCAACCCUCAAGCUCUGCUUGGUGUUGGGCCCUGCCCGCUGCGGCCGGCCCUAAAGACAGUGGCGGUGCCGCCUGGCCCUGAGCGUAGUACAUCUCUCGCUCCAGUGCCCGGUGGUAGCCUGCCAGAACCCCAACUCUCGUGGUUGACCUCGGAUCAGGUAGGGAUACCCGCUGAACUUAAGCAUAUCAAUAAGCGGAGGA